AGAUUAAGAAAAGAAUGGAAAAAGGUAUGUGAAUUGAUAAAUGGAUAAUGUCGACAGCCUGACUAGAUAUCCUAAGAGAUGGUGGAUGGACAGGAUCCAUAGGGAACCCUACCGGGAACGUGAUCUCUCAUAUCGGACGGGGUAUGAAGACUUUAUGUGUUUUGGCGUCCAUACCGGACGGGGUAUGGAGACGACCCGUUUCACCCUCAUACCAGACGGGGUAUUAAAAUUUAUGAUUUUGGCGCCCAUAUCGGACGGGGUAUGGGGACGGCCCUGGAAUUAAGUUAUUA
rnacentral:lncRNA from 1 species